UACGUAGGUGGCAAGCGUUGUCCGGAAUUAUUGGGCGUAAAGCGCGCGCAGGCGGUCCCUUAAGUCUGAUGUGAAAGCCCACGGCUCAACCGUGGAGGGUCAUUGGAAACUGGGGGGACUUGAGUACAGAAGAGGAAAGCGGAAUUCCACGUGUAGCGGUGAAAUGCGUAGAGAUGUGGAGGAACACCAGUGGCGAAAGGCGGCUUUCUGGUCUGUAACUGACGCUGAGGCGCGAAAGCGUGGGGAGCAAACAGG
rnacentral:rRNA from 1 species